rnacentral:rRNA from 1 species
ACAAUAGGCCGUCAGUGGGACAUCAUAGAGGGUGACAAUCCCGUCCUUGACGCUAAUGUGCAAGUCCGUUACGAUGGCUAUCUCAGAGAGUCGAGCAGUUUGGGAUUUGCUGCUUAAACAUGGGAGGUAGAUUCCUUCUAAAGCUAAAUACAGGCGAGAGACCGAUAGAGAACAAGUACCGCAAGGGAAAGAUGAAAUAGCACUCUGUGAAGGGAGUCAAAAGACGUGAAAUUGUUGCGAGAGAAGCGAUUCAAGUCAGCGUAGCUAGGCCCAUUAAGCCUCUUUGCUUUGGACUAGCUUUGCCAGCGGUCUUGUCCUAGAGACUUGACUUGUAAAUGUCCAGCCUGGUUUGCACAGGUAGCCCCCCUCUGGGGGGUCAGUGGCAUGGCUGGUGGAAUGGCUUGCAAUCGACCCGUCUUGAAACACGGACCAAGGAGUCUAACAUGUAUGCGAGUAUAAGGGUGGCAAACCCGUAUGCGCAAUGAAAGUGAUUUUCGGUGAUUGAGAAUGGCCUGAUGACCAGACAAGCAAUACAUGUCCCUCGUACGGCCAUUGCCCAAGUUCCGUGGUAGAUCCCAUGAACAUGGAGUUGGAGCAUACAUGCUAGGACCCGAAAGAUGGUGAACUAUGCCUGGACAAAGCGAAGCCAAAGGAAACUCUGGUGGAGGCUUGUAGCGAUUCUGACGUGCAAAUCGAUCGUCUGAUCUGGGUAUA